GAUCGACUCGUCCAGGACCACGCCCUUUUGCUCGAUAGCAUAGGCAAUGAGCCGCUCGUCCUGCGACGCCAAAACCGCGCCGGCUGCGCGCUGCCAAUCAUAGGGUGGGUCGAGGACAGACUCUAGCGCGCGCACCUUGCCCAACGUGCCCUCGAUGAUGCACGCCGUCACGAGCGUCGCAUCGACAGCGUCGGGCCACUGCUGCGCCAGCCAGCGGACACUGUCCGACUCGCCAUCGUAAGACAUGGCGGCAACGAUCGCGCUGCGCACCAUAUGGCGCGUUGGCGGGAAGCGGUCGCUAACCAAUGCCAGGGCUUUGACGUCGCCGCUGGAGGCAGCGCCCAUGAAAAGUGCUGUGGGGUCGAUGGGGAGGCCGUGGUCGAUCGCGGCCAUGAUGGCCGCGUGGUGGCCUGCAUCCGCCGACGUGACCGCAUUGUUGAGCCUUUGGACGAGUUCCGGAUCGGUGAUGGGUUCCAUAUGACGCACGAUGGCCUCGAUCGAGUUGUGCCCCUGGAUGAGAGCCUCGGUCAACUGGUCAAACACCGGCCGGCAAUAGCCCGCGCAGCCAAAGUCGCGCAUCCACAGCGCCACGUCGGGUUGCACGGCGUCCCAUGCCGCGCGGCCUACCUCAGCGUCGCAUCGGCACGGUUUCGUGCUGGUCGCCGGCAGGCUGUACACGUCGUGGGCAAAAACAAACAAAUCCACGUUGCCCGUGCCGGCCGCCUGCUUGACGCCCCAACCGCAGUCUCUGCCGUGGACAUUGCCAAUGCGCCGUGUGAGCAGGUAGCGCACAAUGUCGACGUGCCCGCCACGCGCGGCACCACACAUGGCCUGGUAGAUGUCGUAUCGGCUGAGGCGGCACGGCGCGUCGGCAGCGGAUGACUGCCAAGAUUGGGGAAAAAAAGGCCGCGGCCACACAAGGCGUGAUCAAUCAAGGAUGAAAACACACAACAAGCGACAAAAAAUGACCCCGGUCUAGACAAACAAAAAGAGAGCACAUUCAAAGAAGCACGAUCUAACAAAAACAAGGCCACAAAAUCCGAAAAAGAGAUGGUCUCUUUGUAGACGGAAGGAAAGAAUACCUCGAUAAAUUCGUGGAUGAGCCGCACGACGUCGAGGCGUCCCCCAGCGACCGCAAGCCCCAAGAGGGUCCGAUGCGUGUGGUCCGCGUACAAAGGCAACGCUUUUGCAAUGAGGUCACGGGGCGCACGCGAUCUGAUGACCACGCCCGCAUGGGCAGGACACGCGGCCCACUCGGCCGCACGUCGUGCCACGUCGAUCAUGUCAAAGAGGCGUGCGGCCAUUCGUGCCGCCAAGAGAUCACUCGGACGCUCAAUAAAUUGUACGAUGUGUAGCAGGACUUCUCUGGGCAAGUCGGCCAGCGUGACGUCCUCGCACACGUCAGACGACGCAUGUGGCGAUACAACCGAACCGACCAUUGCUCCUGGGUCUUGCUCAAUCGUCAU
rnacentral:lncRNA from 1 species